UCUUUUGGGGGCUUCCUCUCAGUUUUUCUGUGGCAGCUCACCUCAGAUUUUAGAUGAGUGUUUUUGUCAGAGUACUGUGUGUGUGUCUUAAGCUUAAAGCUACAGUCCAAAGGUUGUGAACUCUAUGUUCCUGUAUUUUGCAAGGAUGUCUGCAUUGCACAAUGCAGCAUGAUGCAGCAGCAUUUAAUGUAGUUGAGUCUGAGCUGGGUCCGUAACUGGAAUUAAGAGAUCCGUGUCAAGGUUGCGUGGAGAGAGGUAAGGAGAUGGAAGUGUUCAAAGGAAUUAAAGGCCCGUGUGAAAGAGUGCCUCCCACUGCUGCUCACUGUCCCAAAACUUCAGCGAAAGACAUCACGGUUGCUGGAAAUGGUGAAGAUAUUUCCCUUACAUGGGAGGAAAAGCUGUGAAAAAGAAGUUUUUGACAGGAUAGAAAGCAAAAGGCUUAAGGGAUAAAAAUACAAGUGCAUGAUUCGUACAACAUCUCUUUUGCAAAUAGCCCAGUAUCUGGAUAGUUGACAAAAAGUGGUAGAGAAGAGCUAGAAGGCUUGUUUGCAAAAACAGAUGACAUCAGAUAUUUCAUUGAAGAUAAAUAAGUUUUUACUGGUAUAGUUGAACAACGCAUAUCCUACUCUCCAGAUGCCCCCUGUGCAAUAACAGAGUUCAAGUGAAGGAUAUAAAGAAGAAACCAUUCUGCUUAACUGUGAUCAUUUGAAGAGUCCCCUGGCUCAAUCCAUCUUCUCUUAUCCUCCCAGCCCCAAACCUGGGAGAAGAGAGUAGUGAUGGCACUAACGUCUGGAUUUAUCUUGCAAACCAGUGAGCAAUAAAAAGAUUUUCAGUA